rnacentral:rRNA from 1 species
AACGAACGCUGGCGGCGUGGAUAAGACAUGCAAGUCGAACGGGAACUUCAGUUGUAGCAAUACAGUUGAAGUUUUUAGCGGCGAACGGGUGCGUAACACGUGGGCAAUCUGCCGAGAAGUGGGGGAUAGCUCGCCGAAAGGCGAAUUAAUACCGCAUAUGAUCAGCUAAGACAUCUUAGCGACAUCAAAGCCGGGGCAACCUGGCGCUUUUUGAGGAGCCCGCGGCCAUCAGCUAGUUGGUGAGGUAACGGCUCACCAAGGCUAUGACGGGUAGCUGGUCUGAGAGGACGACCAGUCACACUGGAACUGAGACACGGUCCAGACACCUACGGGUGGCAGCAGUCGAGUAAUUUUUCUCAAGUGGGGCAACCCUGAAGGAGCGACGCCGCGCGGAGGAU